rnacentral:lncRNA from 1 species
GUGCUGAUUGUGUUGCUGCUUCUCUCUCUCCUCCUUCUCCCUCCACUCAUGAAGGGUUAAUUGAGGGGUGGAGGGUCAUGAGAUGGGGAAUGCCCUAAUGGCUUCUGCUGUGAAGUACUACACUCAGAAUUGUACUUAACUCCAUUCUUAUCUGAUUCUUCAUCUUUUUCACCUAAUUGUCUGGAUGCUCUCCCUCCUGCUCUUUCUUCUUUUUCCUUAUUCUAUAACUUAUAUAAUUUCCUAAAGCCAGUUGUAUUAAAUUAUAUGUACAAAGUUUUUCUUUGGAAAUUGAGUCAGGUCCAUUAUCACUGUAGAAUUGACAUAGUUGCUCUCCUACUAAUUUCCACUCAUUUGGAUUCAAUUCUUUUCCCUUAGAGAACCAAGGAGAUGUGUACUAUACUGUUUCUAAAAGUUCAAUGAUCUGCUCCCAAGUUACAAUCAAAUCUUGGCUUUUAAUGAGUUUAACUAAGGUUUUGACACAUUUUCCUUGAAUUGGAAAAGAAGGCUGUUUUCUAAACAUCUGUCCCAUUUCAGCUGAAAUAUUAUUUUAGCCCUUAACAAAGUUUCCUUGUCUAUUUUUGUACUUACCCUAAUUUCUUCAGCCUCCAGCCACCACACAGGUAGAUGAUGGAAUGAAUCUGUCUCAGCCUCCGAGAGCUUCUAGUGUGCUUGUCUUUUUUGGCCCUGAGAGCGUCUAUCUUAUAUGCUCUACACUGAGUAUACACCAAUCAUUAUAUCACUAGGAAACCAUUAUUUGUUGUAGGAUUAAAUCAAUGCUAAAGUAGAUUUAAGUAUUGUCUCCUCAAUUCCACUUAGUACCUAGUUUCAAGUUCUGGCCCAUAACAUCUUCUUGUAGGAUUAAAUCAAUCAUACUGAACCAUGCUAAAUUAGACAACUAUUGUCUCUAUCAAUGCCACUGACUUAGUACUUUGUAAUAAUCCUCUGUUUCAAGUUCAGAGUCCUGGCCCAUAACAAUUAAGGUAUAUCUUUUUUAAAAUUACAAAACACUGAUUUUUUCCAAGCUAAACUAUUUAAAUCUGAUUAACUUUAAAACAUGAGAAGAAAUCUCCCCUCCUCCUUUGCACAGUCAAUUGCACCGUCAGUCCAUCAAUAAACAUUUAGUAAUAAGCACCUACUAUGUACCAGGCAUUAUGCUAAGCAUUAGGAAUACAAAAAAAGGAAAAUAUAGUCCCUGCCCUCAAGGAGUUUACAAUCUAAUGAGACAACAUGUAACAAAUACACACCCAGCAAACUAUAUACAAGAUAAAUAGAAAAUAAUUUAAAGAGAAUGGGCACUGAAAUUAAGAGGCUUGGGGAAGACUUCUUGUUAAAGGUGGAAUUUUAGUUGGGACUUAAAGGAAGCUAGAGAGGUCAGAUAUCAGCAUGGAGGAGGGAGAGAAUUCCACAUAUGGAGGGGACAACCAAAGAAAAUGCUCGGAGCAGAGAGAUGGAGAGUCUUGUUCAUAGAAUAGCCAGGAGACCAAAGUCACUUGACUGAGUGGUACUUGUCUGGGAGGAAGGUGUAAGAUGACUGGAAAGGUAGGAGUUGCUUGGGUCAUGAAAAACUUUAUAUGCCAAACAAAGCAUUUUGCAUUUGCUCAUGGAUGCAAUAGGAAACCACUGAAGUUUCUUGAGUAGGAGGAUGACAUGAUUGGACCUGCACCUUAGAGUAAUCACCCUAGUGGCUGGAUGGAGGAUGAGGCAGAGGGAGACAAGGCAGGCAGACUCAUCAGCAGGUUACUGCAGUAAUUGAGGCAUGUGGCUGGUACCAGAUUGUUGGCAGUGUCAGAGAAGAGAAGAUAUAUUCAAGAAAUAUUGCAAAGGUGAAAUCAAGAGAUCUUGGCAACAGCAUGGUUAUAUGGGCAGUUCAGAGAUAGCUAGGAAUCCAAGAUGUUAAGGAGGCAAGGAAGAUUGUGUAUAUUUUCAUAUUUAUGUAUUAAUCAGUUAUGCUGACUUUUCUCUACCUUAAAAAAAAUUGUUAUAUGUGAUGGCUCUUUGGGAGGAAAAUGCCUG